AUUUUAUUUCCCAACAUACCAAAAAUACAAUACAGCUUGAGAACAAUAUUAUAAAAAUAUAAUUUUUCAACAAUGCUUGAGAAACACUUAUGUUCCACAAACAUUUCUCAAGUCUGUCCCUUGUUGACAAAUUAGUUUUGAUUUUUUGUGAAAAUUGUCAGCAAGAAAUUAUUUUCUUUGGCAAAAAACUAAAUCACGCGAAUUUAGGACCCAUUUGUGGACCGAACCCUUAAGAUUGGAAGCAUCAAAAAAGUUGCAGGGAUUCAAUAAAUGUGUAGUCUUAGUGGAAGAGAUGCAGAAGUUCAAAUAAGGGAGAAGAAAGCGUCAGGGUAUCAAGGCCACAUGCGGCAGUGACUACUGGGAUGUCCAUCAAGAAAAAACGUUUAAAAUGAUUAAAAACUAAAAAAAAUAAUAUUUUAUACUAUUACAAAAAUAAGCUUAUUAUAAUAUUAUUUUUGUAAGCUUAUUCUACAAUUUCAAGUAUAAGCUUAUAAAUAAGGGUUCCGUUUCGAUUAUUCUAUACUUGUUAUACAAACAUUUUUCAAUGUUUUCUCAAGAUUUUCUCAAGCUUAAGGCUUAUGUUCAUAAGCUUAUUGUAAUAUUAUUCUCAAGCCAUUUUGGUAUGUUGGGUUCAUACUCACAAACAU